rnacentral:ncRNA from 2 species
UUAUAGAAUAAUAAGUUCUUUGAAAAUAAUUUUGAAGGGAAGCUGGUGCAAAUCCAGCACAGCCCCGCUACUGUAAGUGGCUACAAAAGCUAAAUUUUCGCGCCAGUGACCGGGCAUAGGAAGAUGCUUUCAAGGGACGAAGUCAAUAGACGUAAACCUUAGGUUUCUGGCGCGGAUAAACCAUCUGAGGAAUUUGAGAAACUUUCUCGGAGAAGGUUAGCGAGGUCACCUUAAGUGACCGAGUCCGCCUUCGGCGGAUAAGUAGGUCUGAUGCCACAAGUCAGGAUACCUAAAGUCNNNNNNNNNNNNNN